UUGACUUUUUGUUUGUAUAAUCUUGGGCAAUUUUGGUACAUGGAUUGGUUGCCUGGUGUGGUUUCUUUAUGUAUUUUAAAUAGUCAAAUUACUAUUAUAAAAAUAUAUGUGAUAGAGCAAUCUGAUGCCCAUCUGCAAACUCGAUAACGUGUUGCGUAACCAUUAGUUACAAUGCAACGUCUGCAAUGUAUUCGGCCUGGAACCUUCUAGUACCGUGUCUCAGAGAGGAAGGAAAUGACAUAAGCCCUGACUACAUUUAAUAUGUAUACCACAUACUUACUUCCUGUUUCCAUACUGCCAGUAAGUUGUCUUACAAAGCCUCUCCACUUCGCUCGAGGGGGUGUGGUAGUAGGUGCCAGGCUCACCGGUUUGUGUCAAGAACUCCAAUGCCUCUGGGGUUUUCACUCUCAACAGCUUCUUGUGUGUAUCAAGAAUGGCCCACCAUCCAAAGGACAUCCAGCAAACUUGACACAACUGUGGGGAGCAUUGGAGUCAACAUGGACCUGCAUCCCUGUGGAACACUUUCGACACCUUGUAGUCCAUGCCCCGACAAAUGGAGGCUGUUCUGAGGGUAAAAAGGGGUGCAACUCAAUAUUAGGAAGGUGUUACUAAUGUUUUCUACACUCUGUGUAUAUUCUGUUAAUAAUUGGAUUCAAUGCUACAGUCAAGAUUGUACAAAUUAAAUGGAUUUGAAGCAAUAAAUGAAUAAUUAUGUGUA